GUCCACGCCGUAACGAUGAAUACUAGGUGUUGGGUUCAUAAGAAGCUCGGUGCCGGCGCAAACGCAUUAAGUAUUCCACCUGGGAGUACGUUCGCAAGAAUGAACUCAAAGGAAUUGACGGGGACCCGCACAAGCGGUGGAGCAUGUGGUUUAAUUCGAAGCAACGCGAAGAACCUUACCAAGUCUUGACAUCCCGUUGACCUGUUAUGUAAUGUAACAUCUCUUCGGAGCAACGGAGACAGGUGGUGCAUGGUUGUCGU
rnacentral:rRNA from 1 species